rnacentral:rRNA from 2 species
UUAAGCGACUAAGCGUACACGGUGGAUGCCCUGGCAGUCAGAGGCGAUGAAGGACGUGCUAAUCUGCGAAAAGCGUCGGUAAGGUGAUAUGAACCGUUAUAGCCGGCGAUGUCCGAAUGGGGAAACCCAGUGCAAUUCGUUGCACUAUCGUUAACUGAAUACAUAGGUUAACGAGGCGAACCGGGGGAACUGAAACAUCUAAGUACCCCGAGGAAAAGAAAUCAACCGAGAUUCCCCCAGUAGCGGCGAGCGAACGGGGAGCAGCCCAGAGUCUGAAUCAGCUUGUGUGUUAGUGGAACGGUCUGGAAAGUCCGACGGUACAGGGUGAUAGUCCCGUACACCAAAAUGCACAGGCUGUGAACUCGAAGAGUAGGGCGGGACACGUGGUAUCCUGUCUGAAUAUGGGGGGACCAUCCUCCAAGGCUAAAUACUCCUGACUGACCGAUAGUGAACCAGUACCGUGAGGGAAAGGCGAAAAGAACCCCGGCGAGGGGAGUGAAAAAGAACCUGAAACCGUGUACGUACAAGCAGUGGGAGCACCUUCGGGUGUGACUGCGUACCUUUUGUAUAAUGGGUCAGCGACUUAUAUUCUGUAGCAAGGUUAACCGUAUAGGGGAGCCGCAGGGAAACCGAGUCUUAACUGGGCGUUAAGUUGCAGGGUAUAGACCCGAAACCCGGUGAUCUAGCCAUGGGCAGGUUGAAGGUUGGGUAACACUAACUGGAGGACCGAACCGACUAAUGUUGAAAAAUUAGCGGAUGACUUGUGGCUGGGGGUGAAAGGCCAAUCAAACCGGGAGAUAGCUGGUUCUCCCCGAAAGCUAUUUAGGUAGCGCCUCGUGAACUCAUCUUCGGGGGUAGAGCACUGUUUCGGCUAGGGGGUCAUCCCGACUUACCAACCCGAUGCAAACUACGAAUACCGAAGAAUGUUAUCACGGGAGACACACGGCGGGUGCUAACGUCCGUCGUGAAGAGGGAAACAACCCAGACCGCCAGCUAAGGUCCCAAAGUCAUGGUUAAGUGGGAAACGAUGUGGGAAGGCACAGACAGCCAGGAUGUUGGCUUAGAAGCAGCCAUCAUUUAAAGAAAGCGUAAUAGCUCACUGGUCGAGUCGGCCUGCGCGGAAGAUGUAACGGGGCUAAACCAUGCACCGAAGCUGCGGCAGCGACACGAUGUGUUGUUGGGUAGGGGAGCGUUCUGUAAGCCUGCGAAGGUGACCUGUGAGGGUUGCUGGAGGUAUCAGAAGUGCGAAUGCUGACAUAAGUAACGAUAAAGCGGGUGAAAAGCCCGCUCGCCGGAAGACCAAGGGUUCCUGUCCAACGUUAAUCGGGGCAGGGUGAGUCGACCCCUAAGGCGAGGCCGAAAGGCGUAGUCGAUGGGAAACAGGUUAAUAUUCCUGUACUUGGUGUUACUGCGAAGGGGGGACGGAGAAGGCUAUGUUAGCCGGGCGACGGUUGUCCCGGUUUAAGCAUGUAGGCUGGUUAUCCAGGCAAAUCCGGAUAAUCAAGGCUGAGGUGUGAUGACGAGGCACUACGGUGCUGAAGUAACAAAUGCCCUGCUUCCAGGAAAAGCCUCUAAGCAUCAGGUAACAUCAAAUCGUACCCCAAACCGACACAGGUGGUCAGGUAGAGAAUACCAAGGCGCUUGAGAGAACUCGGGUGAAGGAACUAGGCAAAAUGGUGCCGUAACUUCGGGAGAAGGCACGCUGGUGUGUAGGUGAAGUCCCUGCGGAUGGAGCUGAGACCAGUCGAAGAUACCAGCUGGCUGCAACUGUUUAUUAAAAACACAGCACUGUGCAAACACGAAAGUGGACGUAUACGGUGUGACGCCUGCCCGGUGCCGGAAGGUUAAUUGAUGGGGUUAUCCGUAAGGAGAAGCUCUUGAUCGAAGCCCCGGUAAACGGCGGCCGUAACUAUAACGGUCCUAAGGUAGCGAAAUUCCUUGUCGGGUAAGUUCCGACCUGCACGAAUGGCGUAAUGAUGGCCAGGCUGUCUCCACCCGAGACUCAGUGAAAUUGAACUCGCUGUGAAGAUGCAGUGUACCCGCGGCAAGACGGAAAGACCCCGUGAACCUUUACUAUAGCUUGACACUGAACAUUGAGCCUUGAUGUGUAGGAUAGGUGGGAGGCUUUGAAGCGUGGACGCCAGUCUGCGUGGAGCCAACCUUGAAAUACCACCCUUUAAUGUUUGAUGUUCUAACGUUGGCCCCUUAUCGGGGUUGCGGACAGUGUCUGGUGGGUAGUUUGACUGGGGCGGUCUCCUCCCAAAGCGUAACGGAGGAGCACGAAGGUUAGCUAAUCCUGGUCGGACAUCAGGAGGUUAGUGCAAUGGCAUAAGCUAGCUUGACUGCGAGCGUGACGGCGCGAGCAGGUGCGAAAGCAGGUCAUAGUGAUCCGGUGGUUCUGAAUGGAAGGGCCAUCGCUCAACGGAUAAAAGGUACUCCGGGGAUAACAGGCUGAUACCGCCCAAGAGUUCAUAUCGACGGCGGUGUUUGGCACCUCGAUGUCGGCUCAUCACAUCCUGGGGCUGAAGUAGGUCCCAAGGGUAUGGCUGUUCGCCAUUUAAAGUGGUACGCGAGCUGGGUUUAGAACGUCGUGAGACAGUUCGGUCCCUAUCUGCCGUGGGCGCUGGAGAAUUGAGGGGGGCUGCUCCUAGUACGAGAGGACCGGAGUGGACGCAUCACUGGUGUUCGGGUUGUCAUGCCAAUGGCACUGCCCGGUAGCUAAAUGCGGAAGAGAUAAGUGCUGAAAGCAUCUAAGCACGAAACUUGCCCCGAGAUGAGUUCUCCCUGAGACUAUAAGUCUCCUGAAGGAACGUUGAAGACGACGACGUUGAUAGGCCGGGUGUGUAAGCGCAGCGAUGCGUUGAGCUAACCGGUACUAAUGAACCGUGAGGCUUAACCUU